UACGGCCAUAUCACGAUGAAACAUCGGUUCCUGUACGAUCACCGACGUUAAGCAUCGUCGAGCCUGAUGGGUAUCUAGAUGGGUGACCGCUUGG